AUGCUGGAGGUAUCAGAAGUGCGAAUGCUGACAUAAGUAACGAUAAAGCGGGUGAAAAGCCCGCUCGCCGGAAGACCAAGGGUUCCUGUCCAACGUUAAUCGGGGCAGGGUGAGUCGACCCCUAAGGCGAGGCCGAAAGGCGUAGUCGAUGGGAAACAGGUUAAUAUUCCUGUACUUGGUGUUACUGCGAAGGGGGGACGGAGAAGGCUAUGUUGGCCGGGCGACGGUUGUCCCGGUUUAAGCGUGUAGGCUGGUUUUCCAGGCAAAUCCGGAAAAUCAAGGCUGAGGCGUGAUGACGAGGCACUACGGUGCUGAAGCAACAAAUGCCCUGCUUCCAGGAAAAGCCUCUAAGCAUCAGGUAACAUCAAAUCGUACCCCAAACCGACACAGGUGGUCAGGUAGAGAAUACCAAGGCGCUUGAGAGAACUCGGGUGAAGGAACUAGGCAAAAUGGUGCCGUAACUUCGGGAGAAGGCACGCUGAUAUGUAGGUGAAGUCCCUUGCGGAUGGAGCUGAAAUCAGUCGAAGAUACCAGCUGGCUGCAACUGUUUAUUAAAAACACAGCACUGUGCAAACACGAAAGUGGACGUAUACGGUGUGACGCCUGCCCGGUGCCGGAAGGUUAAUUGAUGGGGUCAGCGCAAGCGAAGCUCUUGAUCGAAGCCCCGGUAAACGGCGGCCGUAACUAUAACGGUCCUAAGGUAGCGAAAUUCCUUGUCGGGUAAGUUCCGACCUGCACGAAUGGCGUAAUGAUGGCCAGGCUGUCUCCACCCGAGACUCAGUGAAAUUGAACUCGCUGUGAAGAUGCAGUGUACCCGCGGCAAGACGGAAAGACCCCGUGAACCUUUACUAUAGCUUGACACUGAACAUUGAGCCUUGAUGUGUAGGAUAGGUGGGAGGCUUUGAAGUGUGGACGCCAGUCUGCAUGGAGCCGACCUUGAAAUACCACCCUUUAAUGUUUGAUGUUCUAACGUUGACCCGUGAUCCGGGUUGCGGACAGUGUCUGGUGGGUAGUUUGACUGGGGCGGUCUCCUCCUAAAGAGUAACGGAGGAGCACGAAGGUUGGCUAAUCCUGGUCGGACAUCAGGAGGUUAGUGCAAUGGCAUAAGCCAGCUUGACUGCGAGCGUGACGGCGCGAGCAGGUGCGAAAGCAGGUCAUAGUGAUCCGGUGGUUCUGAAUGGAAGGGCCAUCGCUCAACGGAUAAAAGGUACUCCGGGGAUAACAGGCUGAUACCGCCCAAGAGUUCAUAUCGACGGCGGUGUUUGGCACCUCGAUGUCGGCUCAUCACAUCCUGGGGCUGAAGUAGGUCCCAAGGGUAUGGCUGUUCGCCAUUUAAAGUGGUACGCGAGCUGGGUUUAGAACGUCGUGAGACAGUUCGGUCCCUAUCUGCCGUGGGCGCUGGAGAACUGAGGGGGGCUGCUCCUAGUACGAGAGGACCGGAGUGGACGCAUCACUGGUGUUCGGGUUGUCAUGCCAAUGGCACUGCCCGGUAGCUAAAUGCGGAAGAGAUAAGUGCUGAAAGCAUCUAAGCACGAAACUUGCCCCGAGAUGAGUUCUCCCUGACCCUUUAAGGGUCCUGAAGGAACGUUGAAGACGACGACGUUGAUAGGCCGGGUGUGUAAGCGCAGCGAUGCGUUGAGCUAACCGGUACUAAUGAACCGUGAGGCUUAACCUUACAACGCCGAAGCUGUU
rnacentral:rRNA from 1 species